rnacentral:rRNA from 1 species
CCUACGGGCGGCAGCAGUGGGGAAUAUUGCACAAUGGGGGAAACCCUGAUGCAGCGACGCCGCGUGAGUGAAGAAGUAUCUCGGUACGUAAAGCUCUAUCAGCAGGGAAGAAAAUGACGGUACCUGACUAAGAAGCCCCGGCUAACUACGUUCCAGCAGCCGGGGUAAUACGUGGGGGGCAAGCGUUAUCCGGAUUUACUGGGUGUAAAGGGAGCGUAGACGGGAGCACAAGUCUGGUGUGGAAACCCGGGGCUUAAACCCGGAACGGCGUUGGAAACUGUGCGGCUGGAGUGCAGGAGGGGUAAGCGGAAGUCCUAGUGUAGCGGUGAAAUGCGUAGAUAUUAGGAAGAACACCAGUGGCGAAGGCGGCUGACUGGACUGUAACUGACGUUGAGGCUCGAAAGCGUGGGGAGCAAACAGGAUUAGAUACCCGUGUAGUC